UACGUAGGGUGCGAGCGUUAAUCGGAAUUACUGGGCGUAAAGCGUGCGCAGGCGGUUUUGUAAGCCAGAUGUGAAAUCCCCGGGCUUAACCUGGGAAUGGCAUUUGGGACUGCAAGGCUUGAGUGCGGUAGAGGAGACUGGAAUUCCUGGUGUAGCAGUGAAAUGCGCAGAUAUCAGGAGGAACACCAAUAGCGAAGGCAGCUCGCUGGGACGUUACUGACACUGAGGCGCGAAAGCGUGGGGAGCGAACAGG
rnacentral:rRNA from 1 species